GGGGCUGUAGCUUAGUGGUUGAGUGCAUGUUUAACAUGCAUAAGAUCCUGGGUUUGAUCCCUAGCACCA
rfam:Heterocephalus glaber contig34646, whole genome shotgun sequence.